rnacentral:rRNA from 1 species
UACGAAGGGGGCUAGCGUUGCUCGGAAUCACUGGGCGUAAAGGGUGCGUAGGCGGGUCUUUAAGUCAGGGGUGAAAUCCUGGAGCUCAACUCCAGAACUGCCUUUGAUACUGAAGAUCUUGAGUUCGGGAGAGGUGAGUGGAACUGCGAGUGUAGAGGUGAAAUUCGUAGAUAUUCGCAAGAACACCAGUGGCGAAGGCGGCUCACUGGUCCGGCACUGACGCUGAGGUGCGAAAGCGUGGGGAGCAAACAGG